UACGUAGGAGGCAAGCGUUGUCCGGAAUUACUGGGUGUAAAGCGCGUGUAGGCGGCAGGCCAAGUCUGUGGUGAAAUCGCUCGGCUCAACUGGGCGGGGUCCAUGGAAACUGGUCGGCUGGAGGACGGUAGAGGUGAGUGGAAUUCCCGGUGUAGUGGUGAAAUGCGCAGAUAUCAGGAGGAACACCGGUGGCGAAGGCGGUCUGCUGGGCAGUAGCUGACACUGAGGCGCGACAGCGUGGGGGAGCAAAACAGG
rnacentral:rRNA from 1 species